UACGUAGGGCGCAAGCGUUAUCCGGAAUUAUUGGGCGUAAAGAGCUCGUAGGCGGUCUGUCGCGUCUGCUGUGAAAACCCGAGGCUCAACCUCGGGCCUGCAGUGGGUACGGGCAGACUAGAGUGCGGUAGGGGAGACUGGAAUUCCUGGUGUAGCGGUGAAAUGCGCAGAUAUCAGGAGGAACACCGAUGGCGAAGGCAGGUCUCUGGGCAUUAACUGACGCUGGAGGAAGCGAAAGCAUGGGGAGCGAACAGG
rnacentral:rRNA from 1 species